rnacentral:lncRNA from 1 species
UUGGAAAUGGCAUGGCCUAUUAUUUAAACUCUAAGGAUAAAAUUAAAAUUACAUAUUAUUCAGGUUAAAUGGAAUUUUUUCCUUUUUUUCCCCACCAAUUACUUUUGCAAUGCAUUGCCUGAUCAUUUUUUUAUUAUUUUAUUAUUAUUAUUAUUAUUAUUAUUAUUACACGCUACAUAAUUUUUCUUCACAUUUUUUUUAUAUGGUUUUCAUUUACUCAACUCAUACGCAAAUUUCCCACAAAAUCGAAUUAUACACUAACUCAACUGUAAUAAAUUCAUGCCAGGCUACUUUUAAAAUUACAGUUGAUAUUUCGCAUUUUUUUUCCCACCAAGCACGCAAUUCAUUACCUUAAAUCCACUUCCAAAUAUUUUCGUCACUAUUUUCGAAAUUUUCAAAUCAUUCUAACCCCAACCCAUACUUGCACGCUUCCAACUUCUUGCUUUUAACCAAUACUUGCAUGCACUUUUUUUAAUUAUUUUACAUGCGUUACUGUUACAACUUCCAACCACUACAGGCGUUUUUUUGGUCAAAAAGUUGAUUCCCUGCAGUGUUACCGGCCCAUUACCUUUAUCUCAAGUUACUCUCUUGCGUCUGUGUGUCUCUUCUGCAGCCACGAGAUGAAAUCUAACGGUGACCAUGCUACAAGACAAACGACUUGGGUACGAAACCCAUGACGCAAAGUAGCUGCGGCCUAAGUAAAAAAGUGAUUCUCAAAAUCAAAAUUUGAAAAGUUAUACCUUCCCUGCUUUUCAGAAACUAUUAUAGAAUGGGGUGAUUUUUCUAAAAGUGAUUUUUAAAAUAUUUAUCAAACACUAAAAUUGGCUUUCACCUUUUUAAAAUCACUUUUAAACCUCCUAAAAGUAAUCACAAAAUGUACCUUAAGGGCCAGUUUGAGAAUGUUGUAACUUUUAAAAUAAUUAUUGUUAGUUGUGCUGUAGAAAUAAUCAGCUGUGAAGAAAAUCAGUUAAGUGCUUGGUAAAAUUUGUUUUUAGAAGUAUUGUGAGUUUUAAAAGCAGUUGUGGACGUUUGGUAAAUUUUAUUUUUUAAACUACUGAGAGAAAACAAAUGACUAAAAUGUACAUAAUGUAGGAUAAAAUUUACUUAUACAUAUAAAAUCAUGUACAUUUAA